rnacentral:sRNA from 1 species
GCCGGGCAUGGUGGCGCAUGCCUGUAAUCCCAGUGGCUCUGGAGGCUGAGGCAGGAGGAUCAAAAAUUCAGAGCCAGCCUCAG